AGUUAAAAAGAGAAUGCAAUUUUGCAUUAAAGGGUAGGUACAUAACAAGUUAAAAAAUAUUGAAUACUUUGAGAAUCCAAUGGUUGUAGAUGACAAUUAAUUGUGGAUAGCCCCUUUUGCAUAGAUUACUUCAACCCUUUCGGUCUACAUAACGUAUCCAAGCACUCGUGUCUAAAUUUAAAUCCACACCCCAGUAUUUUCUAUUUAGAAAGUUCAAGUUUGACACAUGAAUAUGCACCCAUUGCCAACACCUGUACCCAAGUCCAAGUAACACAGAAGAGUGGAUCAAGAAAAACAUUGCAUAAGAAUGGGAAAACAAAUGGAUCUAAUUCUAAUG
rnacentral:misc_RNA from 1 species